GUUCACUGUUUUGCUGAUAGAGGGCGCCAUAGGUAAAUCAUGCAUACAGUGUGGGUAGCAGCUUUUCUUUCUGGAGAAGAAAGGGAACUCGGCAAUCUUACAAAAUUUGAGUGGAAGGUUUAAAUUAGUUUCCGGAAGUUUAUAUUGUGCAGCUGCAUUUCUGUUCAUAACCUUAUACCAGAGUGCAUACAUGACUAAGAGAAAGGCAGAGCACAUACUUUACGAAGUACCUUUAAAAAGAUGUAUCCGUUCGUUUACCACGAGAGGUGAUGCUGGUACUAGUACUAGUGAUGUUACUACGAAGGACCGCAUAAUAUGCUGUGAUAGGGGAAAUCCAGAUUUGGUAAAGCAUCACACGAGGAAAAGAAAAAUGACUCUAGAAGAGGAAAACGAACUGGAGGACGACGGCCCGUCAUGUAAAAGUUGGAUAAAGAAAGAACUGAAUGAAAACGAGGAAUUGAGUCAAACACUUAGCAGAGUGGUGGAACUGAAUUCUGGAAGUUUCUACGCGGAAGGCCAACAUGUGGCAUCUAGUGGUGGUGUCACUGGAAAAAGAAAUUCAAAUAAAAGAUGCAAGGUGAACGACUGGAAACCCAAACUCGAUAAGGCUGCCCCAUCAGAAGAGGAGCUUUGUCAUUUCAACACAUUUCAGUACUGGAGGGUUCCUCUGCCUGGUGUCGAUCUCUCAGAACUCCAGGAUCCUGCAGCUGAGGGGAACAGGAUGGCUGACCAAACUGCAACAGAACGGACACAUACUGAAAUGGAAACAUGAUUUUGUAUCUGUGGUAGAAAUCAGAAAACAAGAGUAUUCCUGUAGUUUUCAAAAUGUAAUUACACAUAGUGAAUGUGAAAACCGACACUUUUGACUGGAUUACACAAACAUGUAGGCAUUGCAGAAUUUGAUAAUUAUCUUUUUCUCUCUGUGGCUCGCAAGAGUAUCAUAAUCUAAUUGGCUCAUGGAUUUCUAAAGCGGUAAUUUUCUGUGUGUCUAAACCCCCCACUAUUUUUACAUUUUUCCAUAGCAUGCAAGUCCUCCAAGAAGUACACUGUGUUCACUAUUUACACUGAACAAUACAUAUUUGUGUCAAACAGGAUUGCAUUCUUCUAGCACUAGUUAUUUCAAGAGGUUAUGUUUUAGCAACUAUAAAUUAAUUGCAAGAAAUGUGUUGCAUUUUCGAAUCCAAUUUCGUAAUUAAACGUGACUGUUACAUGACUGGCAGGAUUUCUCAGUCUAGCUGUAUUUAUUUUUUUGUUUAAAAGAAGCAUUUUGUAUGGUACAGUAUACUAUGAGAAACCGAUUUUAGACACAAUUAUUGUAUGUAUCUGAAUUAAUUGUAUUGCAAACUAGGGGAAUACAAUAACAAAUAAACAUUUUUCCCACCGUUUAACAAUUAAUUGUUAAUUGAA